GUGAUGGUGGCUCAGUGGUAGAGCGCCCGCCUCAUGAACGGGAGGUCAUGGGUUCAAUUCCCGACCAAUGCACA
rnacentral:tRNA from 1 species